rnacentral:tRNA from 1 species
CCCUCAAUAGUGGAAUGGUUAACAUGCUUGGCUGCUAACUGAAAGGUUGGAAGCUCAAAUCUACCCAGAGGGG